rnacentral:rRNA from 1 species
CCUACGGGGGGCAGCAGUGAGGAAUAUUGGUCAAUGGGCGAGAGCCUGAACCAGCCAAGUCGCGUGAGGGAAGACGGUCCUAUGGAUUGUAAACCUCGUUUUCCGGGGAGCAAAAAGCGGUACGUGUACCGCAUCGAGAGUACCCGGAGCAAAAGCAUCGGCUAACUCCGUGCCAGCAGCCGCGGUAAUACGGAGGAGUCGAGCGUGAGCCGGUUUUAGUGGGUUUAAAGGGUGCGCAGGCGGCGAGGUAAGUCAGCGGUAAAAUUUCGGGGCGCAACCCCGAUGAGCCGUUGAAACUGGCUUGCUAGAGUGGGCGAGAGGUAUGCGGAAUGCGUGGUGUAGCGGUGAAAUGCAUAGAUAUCACGCAGAACUCCGAUUGCGAAGGCAGCAUACCGGCGCGCAACUGACGCUCAGGCACGAAAGCGUGGGUAUCGAACAGGAUUAGAUACCCCGGUAGUC